rnacentral:rRNA from 1 species
GACGAACGCUGGCGGCGUGCCUAAUACAUGCAAGUAGGACGCAGUUGCGAACGGGUGAGUAACGCGUAGGUAACUACCUAUUAGAGGGGGAUAACUAUUGGAAACGAUAGCAACUACCGCAUACUAGUAGAUGGACCUGCGUUGUAUUAGCUAGUAGGUAGGGUAAUGGCCGACCUAGGCAACGAUACAUAGCCGACCUGAGAGGUGGAUCUGCCACACGGAUGAUGAGACACGACCCAGACGCCUACGGGAGUAAGCAGAAGGGAAUCUGCGGCAAUGGGGGGAACCGUGACCGAGCAAGGCGGCGAGAGUGAAGAAGGUUUUCGGAUCGUAAAGCUCUGAUGUGAAGUAAGCGGUACUUAACCAGAAAGGGACGGCUAACUACGUGCCAGCAGCCGCGGUAAUUC